CAAGGUUUCCGUAGGUGAACCUGCGGAAGGAUCAUUAACGAAUCUAUUCUUUCUUACACACUUUGUGAACUUUUGAAAUGAUUACUUGGCUAGAGGAAGUAAAAUUUUUCUAGCCAGGCGUUUUAAACUAAACACUUUUUUUAUUAUACAAUUGAUUUUUAUAAUUCUGAAACAGAAAAAAAAUAAUCUUUUAAAACUUUUAACAACGGAUCUCUUGGUUCUCGCAUCGAUGAAGAACGCAGCGAAAUGCGAUAAGUAAUGUGAAUUGCAGAUUUUCGUGAAUCAUUGAAUCUUUGAACGCACAUUGCGCCUUCUAGUAUUCUGGGAGGCAUGCCUGUUUGAGCGUCAUUUCCUUCUCCAAAAGAAAUACUUUUUUGUGUUUCCUUUGGGAGUUGAACCUAUGUAUCUGAUAAAGAUACUGGUAUGAAAUGUAUGGGCAACAGACGGCUAACAGCUUGAGGCUGGUAAGUUAAUUUUACGUAUUAGGUCUAACCAACUCGUAAAAACUAUAUUACUGGAUCUCGAUAAGAUGAUAGUCUGUCUUGCUUGACAAAGAUCUUCAAAAUCUUUGACCUCAAAUCAGGUAGGAAUACCCGCUGAACUUAAGCAUAUCAA
rnacentral:rRNA from 1 species